GAUGAACGCUGGCGGCGUGCCUAAUACAUGCAAGUCGAGCGAACGGACGCGAAGCUUGCUUCUCUGAUGUUAGCGGCGGACGGGUGUGUAACACGUGGAUACCCUACCUAUAAGACUGGGAUAACUUCGGGACACCGGAGCUAAUACCGGAUAAUAUUUUGCACCGCAUGGUUCAAAAGUGAAAGACGGUGUUGCUGUCACUUAUAGCUGGAUACGCGCUGCAUUAGCUAGUUGGUACGGUAACGGCUUACCACGGCGACGAUGCGUAGCCGACCGGCGAGGGGGAUAGGCCGCACGAGAACGGGGACGCGGUCCAGACUCCUACGGGAGGCAGCAGUAGGGAACCUGCCGCAGUGGUCGAAAGCCUGACGGAGCAACGCCGCGUGAGUGAUGAAGGUCUUCGGAUCGUAAAACUCUGUUAUUAGGUAAGAACAUAUGUGUAAGUUACUGAGCACAUCGUGACGGUACCUAAUCAGAAAGCCACGGCUAACUACGUG
rnacentral:rRNA from 1 species